GAUGAACGCUGGCGGCGUGCCUAACACAUGCAAGUCGAGCGAAGCGCCUUACUUGAUUUCUUCGGGAUGAAAGUAUUGUGACUGAGCGGGCGACGGGUGAAGGUACGCGUAGAGGAACCUGCCUCGGAGUGGGGAAUAACAGUCCGAAAGGACUGCUAAUACCGCAUAAUGCAGCUGGGUCGCAUGACUCUGGCUGCCAAAGAUUUAUCGCUCUGAGAUGGCCUCGCGUCUGAUUAGCUAGUUGGCGGGGUAACGGCCCACCAAGGCGACGAUCAGUAGCCGGACUGAGAGGUUGGCCGGCCACAUUGGGACUGAGACACGGCCCAG
rnacentral:rRNA from 1 species